AUAACCCUGCGGUGUGCGUGGUUGUUCUCAAAAGUUUGGAGCCAACACCCGAACCUAGGGAGCCUGAGUCUGGGCCCCAAGUGGGAUCCCUGAAAUAAUCGGGAAGCACGCGGAGUCCAUGAGCGGCGCCCACCUGCUAAUGCAGGUUCACAAACUGCGAGGCACACGGCACUGCGGGGUUUUU
rnacentral:other from 1 species